GAGCCUAGCAGCAAUGACCCUGCUGAAGUUGAAGUUUGGAGCCUGAAGGGACAGGUUAAAGAUGGGUGGUAGCCACUGUCAGACAGGAGAAAAGUCCCUUCUCCAUCUACCUCCUCAAGAAAAGAGCCUACAGCAAAAGGCACCCAGACAAAGUGAAAUUGGCUCCCAUUUCUGGGCCUCUGUGUGUCCGUGUCCGUGUGUAAGCCAGAGGCACUGGAUCUCUGGGACCUGGAGUUACAGGAAGUUGUGAACCAUCUGAUGUGGAUGCUGGGAAUUGAAGUCCUCUGGAACGGCAGGAAGUGCUCACGGCAGCUAGCUGAGCCAUCUACCCAGCACCUCCACCCCGUUGGCCCCAAAGCUGUAUUUUGUUGUGGAUUUUGUGUUUGUGUUUUUUGUGAGACAGUCUCAUAUGUAAUUUUGACUGUUCUAGAAUCUACUAUGCAAAGUA